rnacentral:rRNA from 1 species
CAAUAAGCGGAGGAAAAGAAACUAACAAGGAUUCCCUUAGUAACUGCGAGUGAAGAGGGAAAAGCUCAAAUUUAAAAUCUGGCAGUGUUUUGCUGUCCGAGUUGUAACCUAGAGAAGUGUAACCUGGGCUGGACCAUGUACAAGUCUCCUGGAAUGGAGCAUCGCAGAGGGUGAGAAUCCCGUCUUUGACAUGGACUACCAGUGCAUUGUGGUUGUGCUCUCAACGAGUCGAGUUGUUUGGGAAUGCAGCUCUAAAUGGGUGGUAAAUUCCAUCUAAAGCUAAAUAUUGGCGAGAGACCGAUAGCGAACAAGUACCGUGAGGGAAAGAUGAAAAGAACUUUGGAAAGAGAGUUAAACAGUAUGUGAAAUUGUUGAAAGGGAAACGUUUGAAGUCAGUCAUGUUGGUUGGGGAUCAGCCUGGCAGAUUGCCGGGUGUACUUCCUGGUUGACGGGCCAACAUCAGUUUUGACUGCCAGAGAAAGGCCAAGGGAAUGUGGCACCUUUGGGUGUGUUAUAGCUCUUGGYCGUAUGUGGUGGUUGGGACUGAGGAGAGCAGUGCGCCGAAAGGCAGGGUUUCGACCACAUUCGCACUGAGGAUGUUGGCAUAAUGGCUUUAAGCGACCCGUCUUGAAAC